UACGGGGGGGGCAAGCGUUGUUCGGAAUUACUGGGCGUAAAGGGCGCGUAGGCGGCCUUCUAAGUCGAACGUGAAAUCCCUGGGCUCAACCCAGGAACUGCGUCCGAUACUGGGAGGCUUGAAUCCGGGAGAGGGAUGCGGAAUUCCAGGUGUAGCGGUGAAAUGCGUAGAUAUCUGGAGGAACACCGGUGGCGAAGGCGGCAUCCUGGACCGGUAUUGACGCUGGGGCGCGAAAGCCAGGGGAGCAAACGGG
rnacentral:rRNA from 1 species